UAAUUCGAUAAUACACGAAAAACCUUACCAAGGUUUGACAUCCCUCGCAAAGCUAUAGAAAUAUAGUAGAGGUUAUCGAGGUGACAGGUGGUGCAUGGCUGUCGUCAGCUCGUGUCUUGAGAUGUUUGGUUAAGUCCCGCAACGAGCGCAACCCCACUCUUUAGUUACCUGUCUAAAGAGACUGCACAGUAAUGUAGAGGAAGGAUGGGAUCACGUCAAGUCAUCAUGCCCCUUAUGCCUUGGGCUGCAAACGUGCUACAAUGGCGAACACAAUGUGUUGCAAACCAGCGAUGGUAAGCUAAUCACCAAAUUUCGUCUCAGUUCGGAUAGGAGGCUGCAAUUCGCCUCCUUGAAGUUGGAAUCACUAGUAAUCCC
rnacentral:rRNA from 1 species